rnacentral:rRNA from 1 species
GUGGGGAAUCUUGCGCAAUGGGCGAAAGCCUGACGCAGCCAUGCCGCGUGAAUGAUGAAGGUCUUAGGAUUGUAAAAUUCUUUCACCGGGGACGAUAAUGACGGUACCCGGAGAAGAAGCCCCGGCUAACUUCGUGCCAGCAGCCGCGGUAAUACGAAGGGGGCUAGCGUUGCUCGGAAUUACUGGGCGUAAAGGGCGCGUAGGCGGACAGCUUAGUCAGAGGUGAAAGCCCAGGGCUCAACCUUGGAAUUGCCUUUGAUACUGGCUGUCUUGAAUGUGGGAGAGGUGAGUGGAACUCCGAGUGUAGAGGUGAAAUUCGUAGAUAUUCGGAAGAACACCAGUGGCGAAGGCGACUCACUGGCCCAAUACUGACGCUGAGGCGCGAAAGCGUGGGGAGCAAACAGGAUUAGAAACCCGUGUAGUCC